GACGAACGCUGGCGGCGUGCUUAACACAUGCCAGUCGAACGGAAAGGCCCUGCUUUUGUGGGGUGCUCGAGUGGCGAACGGGUGAGUAACACGUGAGUAACCUGCCCUUGACUUUGGGAUAACUUCAGGAAACUGGGCUAAUACCGGAUUGGAGCUCCUUCUGCAUGGGGGGGGUUGGAAAGUUUCGGCGGUUGGGGAUGGACUCGCGGCUUAUCAGCUUGUUGGUGGGGUAGUGGCUUACCAAGGCUUUGACGGGUAGCCGGCCUGAGAGGGUGACCGGCCACAUUGGGACUGAGAUACGGCCCAGACUCCUACGGGAGGCAGCAGUGGGGAAUAUUGCACAAUGGGCGGAAGCCUGAUGCAGCAACGCCGCGUGCGGGAUGACGGCCUUCGGGUUGUAAACCGCUUUCGCCUGUGACGAAGCGUGAGUGACGGUAAUGGGUAAAGAAGCACCGGCUAACUACGUG
rnacentral:rRNA from 1 species